rnacentral:rRNA from 1 species
GACGAACGCUGGCGGCGUGCCUAAUACAUGCAAGUAGAACGCUGAAGAGAGGAGCUUGCUCUUCUUGGAUGAGUUGCGAACGGGUGAGUAACGCGUAGGUAACCUGCCUUGUAGCGGGGGAUAACUAUUGGAAACGAUAGCUAAUACCGCAUAACAAUGGAUGACACAUGUCAUUUAUUUGAAAGGGGCAAUUGCUCCACUACAAGAUGGACCUGCGUUUUAUUAGCUAGUAGGUGAGGUAAUGGCUCACCUAGGCGACGAUACAUAGCCGACCUGAGAGGGUGAUCGGCCACACUGGGACUGAGACACGGCCCAGACUCCUACGGGAGGCAGCAGUAGGGAAUCUUCGGCAAUGGGGGCAACCCUGAUCGAGCAACGCCGCGUGAGUGAAGAAGGUUUUCGGAUCGUAAAGCUCUGUUGUAAGUCAAGAACGGGUGUGAGAGUGGAAAGUUCACACUGUGACGGUAGCUUACCAGAAAGGGACGGCUAACUACGUG